GACGAACCGUGCGAACGUUGUUCGGAGUCACUGGGCUUAAAGGGCGCGUAGGCGGACUGCCAAGUCCGGGGUGAAAUCCUCCGGCUUAACCGGAGAAUUGCCUGGGAUACUGGCGGUCUUGAGGGAGGUAGGGGCACGCGGAACUUCCGGUGGAGCGGUGAAAUGCGUUGAUAUCGGAAGGAACGCCGGUGGCGAAAGCGGCGUGCUGGCCCUCUUCUGACGCUGAGGCGCGAAAGCCAGGGGAGCGAACGGG
rnacentral:rRNA from 1 species